rnacentral:rRNA from 1 species
CGGCCGCGUCGACCUUGGCACCAAGAGCCGAUGAAGGACGUUGUGACCUGCGAUAAGCCCUGGGGAGUUGGUGAGCGAGCUGUGAUCCGGGGGUGUCCGAAUGGGGAAACCUGGAAUGUCCGGAGUAGUGUCCGGUGGCCCUGCCCUGAAUGUAUAGGGCGGUUGGAGGGAACGUGGGGAAGUGAAACAUCUUAGUACCCACAGGAAGAGAAAACAACAGUGAUUCCGUCAGUAGUGGCGAGCGAACGCGGAAGAGGCCAAACCGUACGUGUGUGAUAGCUGACAGGCGUUGCAUGUGCGGUGUUGUGGGCCAUUCUGACCGUGCUGUCGACCGGUCGAGCAGUCAAAAAUGACACAUGAAGUCGAAGCGUUCUGGGAAGGCGCGGCAUAGCAGGUAACACCCCUGUAGACGUAAGUGUGUCACUGCUGAGUGUCACCCAAGUAGCAGCCAACCCUGAAAUUGGCUGUGAAUCCGGCGGGACCACCCGCUAAGCCUAAAUACUCCUUGGUGACCGAUAGCGGACUAGUACCGUGAAGGGG